rnacentral:sRNA from 1 species
CAAGGGACUGGCCAUUGGAGAUUAUGUUUGUGGUAAAGGCCUGACCUGCUGCUUGUGAACAGCCCCAGUGUGGAAGAGGACACCUAACCAUAAAGAGAAGGGUUCCAUUCAGAGCCGAUACAUGAGCAUGAGUGUGUGGACAAGCCCACGGAGACUUGUGGAGCUGGCAGGGCAGAGCCUGCUGGAGGAUGAGGCCCUGGCCAUUGCCGCCCUGGAGUUGCUGCCGAGGGAGCUCUUCCCGCCACUCUUCAUGGCAGCCUUUGACGGGAGACACAGCCAGACCCUGAAGGCAAUGGUGCAGGCCUGGCCCUUCACCUGCCUCCCUCUGGGAGCGCUGAUGAAGGGACAACAUCUUGACCUGGAGACCUUCAAAGCUGUGCUUGAUGGACUUGAUGUGCUCCUUGCCCAGGAGGUUCGCCCCAGGAGGUGGAAACUUCAAGUGCUGGAUUUACGGAAGAA